UUACCGUUAAAUAAGAAAGAAAAUCCAUUAUAACCGAAAUAAAAUAAUGGCUCAUGAAUUAUUUAUUUACCUAUCACUUUUCUAAACUUCACCUACCAUUUUCCACUUGAUUAUUCAAACGAAAUCAAUUACAUUCUACACUCUCUGCUACUUUAGAAAGAAAGAACAAACACAUAACAAAACCGACACACACCGGUUAUGUAAAAAAGAAUCUCAUGCGAUUUUCAUGGCUAAUCCCUUUUCAUUCCUCCAUCUCACACAGAUCUCGUCCAACAAUGGCUAAUCCAGAAAAACGAAACAUGCAAGUAUAUACUAGUUCUAAAACAACAUCAGCCUCACCAGCUUGCCCAAAUGGAUUCGACAGAUCUAACAACUUAAAACAGUGCUUAGUUCAAAGAAUCAUCAUACAUCAACGAUGAAACAUUCGCAAAUAUCAUGUCAGACGUGUAAGAGGAACAUAAAAUCCAACCACAAUGGACUCAGAGACACAGAUCGGAAAGUAAACACCUCACCGGAGCCUUAAAACUCCGGCAAGAUUCUGGUGUUCGAAGUUACCUCGGUGGCUUUAGCUCAGUUUUCUCAAAGUCCUAAUGAUGAACCUUGAGUAAACUUGGGAGUAUUGAGCUUUGGUGAUGGGUGCGAGUGAGAUUUUAGCAGAGUAACGGUGCAAGGAUCAGGUCCCCUUUCCGAUGACUCUCACCAUCUAUUUAUAGAGCCUUCUCCUAGGAUCCUUAAAUCAUGAGCUGUCAAAUCUAUCCAAAAUCAUUCCGUUAGAGAGGAAUUUUUCGCUGGAUUUUGUGGGGACCAAAGUUUUGCUCCUUUUGGUACAGGGUGGUUAAUAGAACUUACGGACAACUCUGUCAUGAUUUCAAAAGAAGGCGAGAAAGUAGGCUGAGCCAACCUUAAAGCUUCCCUUUCAAACGUUACAGAUUGUUGGGACAUGGAUGAUGCUUGCGAGGUUAUGUAUUCCACAGAACUACAGGUCUCACGGCAUGGUAAAGGUGGCUUGUAGACUGACAACAUGGUAACUUGCAGUUAAUGCUAUUAGGAUCAUUGUCUUGACGCAGGGCACGUAACCUUCAUACCUGUUUUCAUCUUCAGACCAAUUCCUUUUGAAGGCACGAAAUGUUCUUUUUUUCAGUUUACCAAAACCUCAACAUCCGCCACAAUGAUCAAAACUUGGACACCAGGUUCUGUUUUAAGACCAUUCUUCUUAUCACAGUCGAUUUUGCUGAACUUUUAAAUUCUUUGUAACGUGACUGGGUUAUUUUCUGUUGUUUGGUAGGGGCCUUGGGUACAAGUCUUAUCAUCAUCCUUCAACCUGCGAGUUCUUAUCGUCUCCAGUUUUUUCGGCACCAAGUGAUUUUGAAGUGGAACAGAAAGCGUUGGAAAAUUUCCUAAAGACCAAAUCUUAACUGGGUCCGGCAAGCUUCUUCUCAACAGACCAAACCUCAGUGUUCCCUGGAAUGUCUUAAACCAAGAGAAAGCAUGGGACUCUUGUGAUUGAUCAACAGGUAUUACGGGAUGUACAUAUCCUGAUGCAAGUUCACGUUGUGGCAUGCAUAUGUUGGCUUCCCUGUUUUAAUACCAGGAGACCAAAAUCAGAGGAUUAACCGUGGAAAGAUCCAGUUCCAGUCUUGGCCAGAAAUGUAUCCUUUGGAGUUUCCAAAGAAUGAGUGUCCUGCUAGUUUACAUCAGCGGUUACCACCUGUUUCGACCUGUUGCAUAUCUUUCCCGCCAACGCUUCCAUUUGUCGGUCUUUCUUGAUGGAAUAAAAUAGAAAUUGUAUGAGGCUGCAGCUAGAUCCAUUGCUCAGGUUCUGCUUGAACAUUUAGCUUAUGUGUUGCCGGUCAAACGUUCGUGAUAUUGCGCAAAUGAGAAGAUGAUUACAAGGUGAUUCACACACUUGGGAAAUGGCUGGGCCGCAAGUUUGAUGUCAUUGGUAUCCAUUUUUGAAUUGGCGGUUUGGAUUACCAUGCUUUUGUAAUAUGGCAGCUGCUUCGUCAUAUUGUGAUUUCUGUCAUUUGUAGAAACUCAGCCUAGGCAUACUAGGCUAUGGUAAAUGGAUAAGUACCAUUUUGUCA